rnacentral:rRNA from 1 species
UGAGGAAUAUUGGUCAAUGGGCGCAAGCCUGAACCAGCCAUCCCGCGUGCAGGAAGACGGCCCUAUGGGUUGUAAACUGCUUUUCCAGGGGGAGAAUUUUUCUGUCGAGACAGGAAUUGACGGUACCCUGGGAAUAAGCAUCGGCUAACUCCGUGCCAGCAGCCGCGGUAAUACGGAGGAUGCGAGCGUUAUCCGGUUUUAUUGGGUUUAAAGGGUGCGUAGGCGGAUAGAUAAGUCAGUGGUGAAAACCUGCAGCUUAACUGUAGACUUGCCGUUGAUACUGUCAGUCUUGAGUAUGGUCAAGGUAGGCGGAAUGUGUAAUGUAGCGGUGAAAUGCUUAGAUAUUACACAGAACACCGAUUGCGAAGGCAGCUUACUGGGCCAUUACUGACGCUGAUGCACGAAAGCGUGGGGAUCGAACAG